CACGUGGAGACAAAGAGCGUUACAAUACAAAGAAACACUGGAAGUUUGUUUUACCCACAUGUGGACCGGGACGGCAACUAAAGGCCAGGGAGAAAAAAAGCGGAUUAAGGAUUUGAUUUUUAAUUGGAACUGCAUGAAGUUGCUCUGCAUGAAGACAACAGAUAAAAAGAAAUGGACUGGAUGUUUAGAGGAACUUUUUUCACGAGGAUGCUGCACCAGCUGCCCCCCAAAAAGUUGCGGAGGUGAUUCCUUUGUUUGGACGAAGGGCUUUGUGAAGAGGACACAGUCAGGCACGACCUGAAAGUCUGUACAAGUGGAAUAAAAAGUAGAAAACAUUGUUUAAAAACUUGUUUUCAGUUGAAUCGGCUUGAGCUGAAGCUUUAUUUGAUUAGUAAAAUGCAUCGUAGCGUAUUAACGAUGUUUGAAGAUCUGCAACGCGGGUUUCUAUUAUAGUUUUGGAGGAUUUAAAGCUUCCAUAGACUGCCUAUGAAAUUCACCACGACCAGGAUCUUCUAGUUUACAUUUUUUCAGUAAGUUAGGAGCAACAGGUAGCCUACUUUUGGUUGAUUUGGCUGUUUUAGUUUGAUUGUCAGUUUAUCACACAAACAUCUGAAUAACCACUGACUCACGGCAAUGUUCCAGCGUUUGUUUGGAAAAAACGCGGAUUUACAACCUAAUUAGGCGAAAGCAGAAUCUCUAUUUGCAAUACCAUCACAUGGAUAUACGGUGCGGUUGAGGGCAUGACUUUUCACUGUGUGAGUUCCAGACACAACAGAGGGACGGAGCUGCGGCCGAUCCGUCACAACUUCCUCUACAUUGUUUUACUCUGAGACUGGACACCUCCACUGACAGACGGAUGACUCUGUCUUCUGGUUUGGAUGCACCCAAAAGAGCCAUGCAUAAUGGUUAGGCCCUCAAGAGUUGGAAAGAAAUACACACAAAUCACCUUUUAAAUUCCAGGUCAUUGUAUCCAGAUCCUACCUGGAAUCCUUGGGCAGAAGGCCAGAAGACCCCCUGGAUGUAGCUUUAUUUGCCUUAAACACUGUUAAGCAUAACCUUCCACCAUCAUCAUCAUCAUCAUCAUCAUCAUAUCUCCUGUCUGCUAACUAAACAAUGUAUUAUGUAUAUGUAUUAGAGCUUUCAACAUUAAAGCAUUAACACACUGA